rnacentral:rRNA from 1 species
AUUGCUGGAAGCGCCGCAAG